AUUGAACGCUGGCGGCAGGCCUAACACAUGCAAGUCGAGCGAGCGGCGGACGGGUGAGUAAUGUAUGGGGACUGCCCGAUAGAGGGGGAUAACUACGGGAAACGGUGGUUACUACCGCAUACAGUCGGAUAACGCAUAUGGGGUUAGCUGGUGGGUAAGGUAAUGGCUUACCUAGGCGACGAUCCCUAGCUGGUCUGAGAGGAUGAUCAGCCACACUGGGACUGAGACACGGCCCAGACUCCUACGGAGGCAGCAGUGGGGAAUAUUGCACAAUGGGCGCAAGCCUGAUGCAGCCAUGCCGCGUGUAUGAAGAAGGCCCUAGGAUUGUAAAGUAUUUUCAGUCGGGAGGCGUUACCGACAGAAGAAGCACCGGCUAACUCCGUGCCAGCCGCCGCGGUAAUUC
rnacentral:rRNA from 1 species